CCCUUAGACGUUCUGGGCCGCACGCGCGCUACACUGACCGGUGCAACAAGCAUCCGUCCUUGGCCGACAGGCCCGGGCAAUCUUUGAACGUCGGUCGUGAUGGGGAUAGACUUUUGCAAUUUUUGGUCUUCAACGAGGAAUUCCUAGUAAACGCAAGUCAUCAACUUGCAUUGAUUACGUCCCUGCCCUUUGUACACACCGCCCGUCGCACCUACCGAUUGAAUGGUCCGGUGAAGCCUCCGGAUUGGCGCGCACCUCGGUGCCGCCGAGAAGUUGGCUAAACCUUACCAUUUAGAGGAAGGUGAAGUCGUAACA
rnacentral:rRNA from 1 species